rnacentral:rRNA from 1 species
AGUGAACGCUGGCGGCAGGCCUAACACAUGCAAGUCGAGCGGAUGAAGGGAGCUUGCUCCUGGAUUCAGCGGCGGACGGGUGAGUAAUGCCUAGGAAUCUGCCUGGUAGUGGGGGAUAACGUCCGGAAACGGGCGCUAAUACCGCAUACGUCCUGAGGGAGAAAGUGGGGGAUCUUCGGACCUCACGCUAUCAGAUGAGCCUAGGUCGGAUUAGCUAGUUCGUGGGGUAAAGGCCUACCAAGGCGACGAUCCGUAACUGGUCUGAGAGGAUGAUCAGUCACACUGGAACUGAGACACGGUCCAGACUCCUACGGGAGGCAGCAGUGGGGAAUAUUGGACAAUGGGCGAAAGCCUGAUCCAGCCAUGCCGCGUGUGUGAAGAAGGUCUUCGGAUUGUAAAGCACUUUAAGUUGGGAGGAAGGGCAGUAAGUUAAUACCUUGCUGUUUUGACGUUACCAACAGAAUAAGCACCGGCUAACUUCGUG